GGCCGUACCCUAAUAUGACCUUUGACGCUGUUCAAACGGAGGUUGACAAUGGUUACCAGAUGCCACGCCCUCGUCAUUGUGCACAAGAAGUGUAUACGGUCAUGUCUGGUUGUUGGGAGAAGGAACCUACGAAUCGGAGUAACUUUGAUCAGACCCUCACGAGUUUGGAGAGGAUUCUAGAAAAAGAAUCACAUUUACCUGUCUCUCAAUGACUUAGAUGAAGGAUUGUUUGUGUCUACACUGGACAUGUGAGAUUAAGCCUAGGUCGGAUAUACAGCGGUACUACAAUGCAUCUUCACCUUUUUCGCUGUAUGAUGACUGGAACCGAGCCAACUAAUUGGACUAUAGGGACGUUGUAGGGACAUUAAAAGGACUAACUUGUGUUAGAUUUAGCCAAGAGUGCGGAAUUAGGCUAUCGCAAAUACUUUAAAAAAAUAUUUU